rnacentral:lncRNA from 1 species
AUAUUAGUUGUGAGGAUUUCUUGACUCUGAGCCUGGCAAGAGGCUUCAGCCAGACACUAGGUGAAGAGUGUCUUCCCCUUCCCACACCUCCUUGCAGUUCUGUGUUUCUACACUGAGUCACAGGACAGUGUAGACAGUCUGCUAUUCACAGGGCAGGGAUGCCAGGGUGGAAAGUAGCUGUCUGAAGAAGUUAUGGGUCAAAGAGUCCCAGAUCUUUGUGGAGUGACUGGGACAGGGGGAUAGCUGCCACUUAAAUAGCAAGGUCAGUGUUUCGUCAAGAGGUCCCUUCUACAGAGCCCCGGCCUCAUCCUUCACCUAUGUCUCUCUGAACAAUUGGGAACUAAAUGGCUGCUGCUGCAGGGCUUUGAUGUUUCUGACUCUCCCAAGACACCGGGACACUUCUCUAAACCAUCGCAAUCACCUCGACGUUGACCCAAAAGACACAGCCCAGUGAUUCUGGACUUCCUGAUCUGCUUUCAGGCUGCUGAAGGCCAGGACACUCAGAACCAUGUGACCAGACUUUUAUGUGCUCAAGACUGUUAAUCUCCUUAAUUGAAAUUGAUUGGCCUCCUGGGACCCAGCUCUGCCCUGGCCCUGAGCUUCAGCAGGUAACCGUCAGUCUCAGAGGAACAAACCUGCUUUGGGAGACUAAUG